ensembl:lncRNA
GUGCUACCCGACUUGGUUAUCAGCGUCUGUAAGAUCCACUGUCGGUCAGCCUUUAAAAUAGAUUAAUGUGUAUGACAUGAUCUUCUUUAAUUAAUAAAGAAAUGCACUUGUUGACAACUUGCUGUGGUAUAAGGGGAAUAAAACACUUCGGAAUGUGCAGUUCUACUUUAGGGUGGUAACGGUCACUCCACUUCAUUGAUCGUUGACUGUUUUCCUAUAACCGCAUGUUUAUUCCUUACAUAAAUUAAACACAAAGCAUGUAGGGGUUCUACAUGCAUGUAGUAUUUGUACAAUCAAUAACCUAUUAGAGUAAUACAUUGUGGUAUAUAAACUGAACUUUGUGUUUGUGUCUGCAGUGUCCAAAGCCCGUGGUGGUGGCAGUGCAAGGCGUGUGUGGGGGAGCAGGAGUGGAUCUAAUCACAGCCUGUGAUAUUCGUCUGUGCACACAGGAUGCCUGGUUUCAGGUGAAGUCGUGUGUUCCCUGAUAGUCAAUGAUUGCUGGAGCUCUGGAAAUAGCAGGUGAGAUUGCAGGCCGGAGUCCCGUCGCUGUCCAGGGAACCAAAGUCAACCUCCUCUACUCCUGAGACCACAGUGUGACUGAGAGCCUAGACUACAUGGCUACUUGGAACAUGAACAUGUUGCAGACACAGGAUCUUAUGAAGUCAGCGCAGACAGCCCUGGAAAAGAAGAGUCCGAAAGACGUGCCCUUCUCCAAGCUUUAAAGGAGAAGAUCCAGGGCUGUUGAAGCUGCGGUGGAACUGAGACUUCAUCAUCCACAUAUCUUUAAUUCUUCUUGCUAAGAGAACGAGAAACUCUGACACAAGAGUACAUCCUGACCAUUGGUACUGUGUACACAUCAACAUACACACACGUCUCCAUGCUGGACAUCUCAGGAGCUUUCACACACAGUGCUAGGAAUAUCCCGGGACAGAGAAACGCACCUCCUAAGUGAGCGAGUUUAGCGUCAACCGGUGAAAUUUGCUGUAGCGUGAACACUUCGCCUCUAAAUGAUCUUUCGAGGCAGCUUCUUCAUCACUACCUGCUCCGUUUGACUAAAAAAUGUAACGACUGG